rnacentral:rRNA from 1 species
GACGAACGCUGGCGGCGUGCCUAAUACAUGCAAGUAGAACGCACAGUUUAUACCGUAGCUUGCUACACCAUACACUGUGAGUUGCGAACGGGUGAGUAACGCGUAGGUAACCUGCCUGGUAGCGGGGGAUAACUAUUGGAAACGAUAGCUAAUACCGCAUAAUAUUGAUUAUUGCAUGAUAAUUGAUUGAAAGAUGCUAUUGCAUCACUACCAGAUGGACCUGCGUUGUAUUAGCUAGUAGGUGAGGUAACGGCUCACCUAGGCGACGAUACAUAGCCGACCUGAGAGGGUGAUCGGCCACACUGGGACUGAGACACGGCCCAGACUCCUACGGGAGGCAGCAGUAGGGAAUCUUCGGCAAUGGACGAAAGUCUGACCGAGCAACGCCGCGUGAGUGAAGAAGGGUUUCGGAUCGGAAAGCUCUGUUGUAAGAGAAGAACGGGUGUGAGAGUGGAAAGUUCACACUGUGACGGUAUCUUACCAGAAAGGGACGGCUAACUACGUG